rnacentral:rRNA from 1 species
CCUACGGGGUGCAGCAGUGAGGAAUAUUGGUCAAUGGACGAGAGUCUGAACCAGCCAAGUCGCGUGAAGGAUGACUGCCCUAUGGGUUGUAAACUUCUUUUAUAUGGGAAUAAAACGUUCCACGUGUGGGAUUUUGUAUGUACCAUAUGAAUAAGGAUCGGCUAACUCCGUGCCAGCAGCCGCGGUAAUACGGAGGAUCCGAGCGUUAUCCGGAUUUAUUGGGUUUAAAGGGAGCGUAGGUGGAUUGUUAAGUCAGUUGUGAAAGUUUGCGGCUCAACCGUAAAAUUGCAGUUGAAACUGGCAGUCUUGAGUACAGUAGAGGUGGGCGGAAUUCGUGGUGUAGCGGUGAAAUGCUUAGAUAUCACGAAGAACUCCGAUUGCGAAGGCAGUUCACUGGACUGCAACUGACACUGAGGCUCGAAAGUGUGGGUAUCAAACAGGAUUAGAUACCCUAGUAGUC